AUGGGAUUUGCGGUGAUACAAAAUUUUGGCACCUCCACCCGGUGGCCUGGCUACCUGCUACACCGAUUCACCCUUUACUUGGGUAUUGUUUCCCCCAUUUGCAAAAUGCUGCCUAAGGAUACUUUUGAUAAUCUCCAAGCCAAGGUUCAAAUGUGUUUCGUUAGGAUAAUAGCUAUGAGUGCAGGAAAACCGACUUUAUUUGCUCCAGGAAUAGUUAUUGCGAAGAAGAAGCUAUCAUGCUACGUCAUAACAGACAAGGGGACAUUUUGUUAUGGUUCUGAAGGGCUCUAUGCUGCUGUUUUUCCUGGCUUGAACAUGGAGAGUGUGGCGAUUAACUUUACCGAUGUAUCAAUUGCUGAUAGUUUUGCCUCUUUCAUGCUAAGCAAACCAAAAUGCACUAAUCCAUUAGCUGCUGUGAAAAUCUGUGAAUCUGGACCGUUGAUUAAUGAGGAUGUUUACACCUUGGGAUAUCAGAAUCCAAAAGUACCUUUUAUCUCCUGGAUCGGUCCGGUGAGCUAAAAUCCUUAUU
rnacentral:lncRNA from 1 species